rnacentral:rRNA from 1 species
ACGGGAGGCAGCAGUGGGGAAUAUUGGGCAAUGGGCGAAAGCCUGACCCAGCAACGCCGCGUGGAGGAAGAAGGUUUUCGGAUCGUAAACUCCUGUCCUUGGUGAAGAGGAGAAGACGGUAGCCAAGGAGGAAGCCCCGGCUAACUACGUGCCAGCAGCCGCGGUAAUACGUAGGGGGCAAGCGUUGUCCGGAAUGAUUGGGCGUAAAGGGCGCGUAGGCGGCCUGGUAAGUCUGAAGUGAAAGUCCUGGCUUUAAGUUGGGAAUUGCUUUGGAUACUGUCGGGCUUGAGUGCAGGAGAGGUCAGUGGAAUUCCCAGUGUAGCGGUGAAAUGCGUAGAGAUUGGGAGGAACACCAGUGGCGAAGGCGACUGACUGGACUGUAACUGACGCUGAGGCGCGAAAGUGUGGGGAGCAAACAGGAUUAGAUACCCUGGUA